GACGUAGGAUGCAAGCGUUGUCCGGAUUUAUUGGGCGUAAAGAGUUCGUAGGUGGUUUGUUAAGUCUGAUGUUAAAGACUGGGCUCAACCUCGGAAAUGCAUUGGAUACUGGCAGACUUGAGUGUGGUAGAGGCAAUCGGAAUUCCGAGGUGUAGCGGUGAAAUGCGUAGAUAUCGGAAGAACACCGGUGGCGCAAGCGGAUUGCUGGCCAUAACGUGACACUGAGGAACGAAAGCGUAGGGUAGCGAAGUGGG
rnacentral:rRNA from 1 species